rnacentral:rRNA from 1 species
UACGUAGGGUGCAAGCGUUAAUCGGAAUACUGGGCGUAAAGCGUGCGCAGGCGGUUAUGUAAGACAGGUGUGAAAUCCCCGGGCUUAACCUGGGAACUGCAUUUGUGACUGCAUAGCUAGAGUACGGUAGAGGGGGAUGGAAUUCCGCGUGUAGCAGUGAAAUGCGUAGAUAUGCGGAGGAACACCGAUGGCGAAGGCAAUCCCCUGGACCUGUACUGACGCUCAUGCACGAAAGCGUGGGGAGCAAACAGG